GUAUUUCUUGUUAUAUUUCCUUUUUCAGGGAGAUGAGGGGCUGGUGGUAGAGAUGCAUGGACCACAGCAAGUUAUUGUGCCAUGAUUUUGUCUUUGACGUACUUAUUUCUGAAAUUCAUUAUGACUUGAAAUAUCCUUUUCAUAAAGACUGCAAUAAAGUCCUUUGACAAUAUGGCUAGAUGGAUCAAAGGGCUUAUCUCUGUUGAAUCUUGAGUAGCCACCCAGAUAUCACUGGAGAAGCAACAAUGCAGAUAAUGAAAGAGAAGCUUAAAGAAGAGAAAUUAAGUACUUGCCCAAGGUCACAUAGUUAGUUAAUGGAAGAACCAAAACUAGAACCUAGAUCUUCUGAUGCCACAUUUCAAGCUCCAUGAACCACUGGUAAGAACUACCUUUUAUGCUGGUACACAGUGUGUGUACAAGAUUACACCUAUAAUGAUAAAACUGGUGGUUUUUAUUCUGUCCUUUUCUAUUUGAUUAUUUCCUUUUUAAUAGUGCUGGUCAUGGUCCACAAACUGACUACGAGGUCUCAGCUAGCAUCUGUAAACACUGCUGUGGAUCACAGAAUUGCUUAUAUGCCAUCCUAACCAUAUACCAAAUGAUGCUUUCAUACAACAGUGAAAAAAUAUUUCCCUUGGAAAGAUUACAUUUCUACUGUCACUUUUUGCCUGCAGGAGAUCAAGGCUAAGGGCAAGGAGCGGAAGGGAGACACACAAGAUGCUCAAGUCUUUAAAAAUCCCCAUUGGGAGAAUCACGCUACAAAUGGACAAAUCACAUCCUGAAACGGUGGACUCUCUGAAGACCUUACAAAACAGCCUUCAGGCCUGAUCUGUCUCCUUUCCCAGCUUGAACUGUGUUUUCCUAAAGUGGUUUCACUUUCCUCCUUCUCCAAAAGGUGGCAUCAGAAAGGAGGGAGCAGGAAGGCACAGGCCAAACGCUCAUCUCAAUGGCUGCCUCAGCCAUGCUCUGACAAGUGAGCUGAUGGGAAAAUUGCUCCUAAUUAAAUCACUUCAUUAAAAAGAGACCAUUUUCCAAGCGAAUGCACUCCGCAGUUCUCGUGGUGGGUAAUUUGUUGUGUUAAUAAGCUGGAGAGGUUGAAUUCCAAGGUUGCAGCCGCUGACAGCCUGCAGAAAUAGGGACCAUAUUUUGGCAAUGCCCUUGCCCUGUCGAGGGUACCGAGGAAAGCUGACAAAUGGCAGUUCCUUAUAAUAGUUUUGCUCACUGGAGACCUGAGGGGCUGAGAAUGAUGUUUUCUAGUCUGUAGGUUUAGGAUGCCAACAAGAUAAAACAAAUACCCAGAAAAAGGCGCUGUGUCUUUUGUUCGCUGAAAAAUAAACAGGGGAGGACUUCCCUUUUGUAGAUCCCACUGUGAUAGAGGAAGAGGGUGCUUCUUCAGCUGUAUUUGAACCGAAGCAUGGAAAAUUGCCAUCUGCAUUCAACUCUGUGGUUUUAGGGCAGCUGGAUAGGCAGUGCUGCACAGUCUGAGGCUGUGGACGUUGAAGUUAGACCAAGUGUCAGUUCCAAUCCUAAUACUUACCAGCUGUGACACCUUGAACAUGCAUGGUAAUCUCUCUAAGCCUCAUUUUCCUCAUCU
rnacentral:lncRNA from 1 species